rnacentral:rRNA from 1 species
UACGUAGGUGGCAAGCGUUAUCCGGAUUUACUGGGUGUAAAGGGCGUGUAGGCGGGACUACAAGUCAGAUGUGAAAUUCCAGGGCUCAACCCUGGGAACUGCAUUUGAAACUGUAGUUCUUGAGUGAUGGAGAGGCAGGCGGAAUUCCGAGUGUAGCGGUGAAAUGCGUAGAUAUUCGGAGGAACACCAGUGGCGAAGGCGGCUGCCUGGCCUGUAACUGACGCUGAGGCACGGAAAGCGUGGGGAGCAAAUAGG